rnacentral:rRNA from 1 species
UACGUAGGGUGCAAGCGUUAAUCGGAAUUACUGGGCGUAAAGCGUGCGCAGGCGGUUGGGUGUGUCAGAUGUGAAAUCCCCGAGGCUUAACCUCGGAACUGCGUCUGAAACUACUCGACUAGAGUACUGGAGAGGGAAACGGAAUUCACGGUGUAGCAGUGAAAUGCGUAGAUAUCGUGAGGAACACCAGAGGCGAAGGCGGUUUCCUGGACAGUUACUGACGCUCAGGCACGAAAGCAUGGGGAGCAAAAGGG